GGUGACGUUCUUGUCACGUGAUCAGAAGCAGCCUUUUGCAGAAGUCCCUCUCUUCCAGGUACCAGCAACCAUCUCCUUAUCUUAUCUCCGUGGAGGAAGGCAGUCUCGAAGCUGAACGACAGAGGGGUGGGGGCAACUGCCCUAUAGCCCGGCAGGUCUUCAGGUCUGUGGCUGUGGGCACCAACCCAUCCAAGAAAAGGAAAGACCUGCAGUAUCAGUGCAGAACAGA
rnacentral:lncRNA from 1 species